GACGAACGCUGGCGGCGUGCUUAACACAUGCAAGUCGAGCGGUAAGGCCCUUUCGGGGGUACACGAGCGGCGAACGGGUGAGUAACACGUGGGUGACCUGCCCUCAGCUCUGGGAUAAGCCUGGGAAACUGGGUCUAAUACUGGAUAUGACUCCACGGUGCAUGUCGUGGGGUGGAAAGCCUUGUGCGGCUGAGGAUGGGCCCGCGGCCUAUCAGCUUGUUGGUGGGGUGANGGCCUACCAAGGCGACGACGGGUAGCCGGCCUGAGAGGGCGACCGGCCACACUGGGACUGAGAUACGGCCCAGACUCCUACGGGAGGCAGCAGUGGGGAAUCUUGCGCAAUGGGCGAAAGCCUGACGCAGCGACGCCGCGUGAGGAUGACG
rnacentral:rRNA from 1 species